rnacentral:rRNA from 1 species
GGAGGAUCCGAGCGUUAUCCGGAUUUAUUGGGUUUAAAGGGAGCGUAGAUGGAUGUUUAAGUCAGUUGUGAAAGUUUGCGGCUCAACCGUAAAAUUGCAGUUGAUACUGGAUGUCUUGAGUGCAGUUGAGGCAGGCGGAAUUCGUGGUGUAGCGGUGAAAUGCUUAGAUAUCACGAAGAACUCCGAUUGCGAAGGCAGCCUGCUAAGCUGCAACUGACAUUGAGGCUCGAAAGUGUGGGUAUCAAACAGGAUUAGAUACCCUGGUAGUCCACACGGUAAACGAUGAAUACUCGCUGUUUGCGAUAUACGGCAAGCGGCCAAGCGAAAGCGUUAAGUAUUCCACCUGGGGAGUACGCCGGCAACGGUGAAACUCAAAGGAAUUGACGG